GCGAGGGUAGCCAAGCCAGGUCAGGCGACAGACUCAAGAUCUGUUCCUGAAGAGGUUCGCCGGUUCGAAUCCGGCCCCUCGCACCA
rnacentral:tRNA from 1 species